AACAGAGGCAUUCUACCUGCGGUAGAUCUCAUCGGCAAACAAGUACUUGUUGGGGUUUUCUAUUUCAUCGGUUUCGGUCUAUUUUGUCUUGAAUCAGUAUUGAGCAUCUGGGUUAUUCAGCAAGUAUACAUGUAUUUCCGAGGAAGUGGUAAAGCUGCAGAGAUGAAGCGCGAAGCUGCUAGAGGGGCGUUGAGAGCAGCAAUAUAAUCGUGAAUCGCGGGUGAGGUGUAGCAGAUAUAGAAUUUGGUCACUUCAGUCCGGCAGAUAUGCUUGUUUCAUAUUUUUGAGUUAUCAUUCCUGUGAUGUAUGUCUUCAUUUAUACUACUUUGACCACAAUGAUUUUAGAAAAAAUAUAGAGAUCUUUGUAAAUCUGGCAAAAACAAUCUUUGCGUAUGUAAAUCUCGCUUUUUAGCCUUUCUAUUUUUUGGCA